rnacentral:lncRNA from 1 species
GUCAGGGUCUCUCCAUGGCCUGGAGCAGGCUCCCAGUGCAUGGAGCUGCACUUGGCACUGAAAGGGGAGCCAGCAGCGGAGGGAUGAUCCCCUGGGACAAGCCUGGGUGUUGCUCUUGGCACAGAAAGGUUUUCCUGAAUGGAAAAUUGCUGACUCUCAGCAGGAGACGCAUUUCAAAGAAAGGCUGAAGGGAUUUGAUUUAAACUAAAAACAUUAAAAAGGACAUUGGACCAAAAUCUUCCCUGUUCAGCCACGAAGUAUACUUUAGAGAAAGGUAAUAUUCAGUAUAAGCUCGUACAAGCUGAAGAGGACCUUAUUUAUUUCUCUUCAUUAAAAUCAAGAAGAGACUGUUUAUAGUCAUACACUUGAUUCAGAAACUGACCUUCCUUCCUGAUUAAAUCACUGGGGCUUGACAAGUAUUUGCAAUUUCUUAUCCAGCAGGUCUGUAAUAUUCAGAGCUGUAUCAAAGUAAUUAAAAUUAAAUAUGUGUCUGAGGCUUAAGUGCUGCUACAUAUACCUGAAUAUAUGCACACUCUCAAAGUGAAAAACAGGUCAUGUAAAAACAUAUUUUACGCAAAACUCUUGGUUUUCUUGUACCAGUGUCAAUUUGGUAAAUAUUAUUUUUUCUAGAACUUCCAUGAGGAUGUGGAACAGUCUACUAUGAGCAUCACUUCUCAUAAUAUUCAUCCCUUACUCUGUACACAGAAAAAUAAAACCAAUCCUAAUAACUGGUAGCCUGUUAUU